AAAAUUGGAAGGAUGCCAUUAUGAGUUGGUUGACCGUUAUGGAAUAUCUGUUUCGCAGAUGACGACGUAUAUAUCUAAUUGUCAUAACCAUAAUCCUGUCAUAUUUUUCAUAUAUGGCACCUGCCAAAUUAUCUAUCAACGGGUUUUUAAUUAAAUGAGCAACACCACGGGUGGCAGAUGUGGGGCAGAAUCUGCUUACCGUCCGGGAACACCUGGGAUCACUUCUAGUUCUGUUUUAAAAACGUUCAUAUCGCCAUUGCUUAAGGUUUAAGUUUUGUUCUCUGUGGUUUAUAAAUACCGAUAACAGUCUUGUUUUUUGUCAUAAAAUACGGUUCAAUUUCACAUAUCCUGAAGGUUCAGGAUAAAAAUAUAAUCCAACCGAGUGACUUUUGCGAAUUUGAUGAUAACUUAGGGUUGAAUAAAUAUAUACAAUAUUUGGUCAACUUGAAUGUCAGAAAAAUAUAAAAAAAAAUGUACGAAGCUGUGAAACUAGGGAAAUCGCCUUUCCCCAGUUUCAUUGUAUAAAUUCGGUUGUACCAAGAUGCACUUUUCAGAUGAUCUUUGUUUGCAGUCAGUAAGAGUUGUGGUUCUUACCUCUGAUUUAAACAUAUCACAGAGUGUUUUUUAAAUGUUUGGUGAUUUUGUUUUUAUAGUUUUUGAUUAAGAUAUUUACGAGGUCAAUAUAUGUUUGCUCUUUAAGUAUACUGUUGUUUAUUCUAAAGAAACCCCUGCCUUUUUCUUUGAAUUUUGUCCACCUUGUAAAGAAAUGGCUUAGUGAUCAGUAUAAAAGGUCAUUGCCAGUCGAAUAUCUGCUUUCAUAGCAUGCUGUCUUAUACUAGGACUUAGCAAAAAGAAGUCAUAACUUAUAAACAAGGAGAGGCAAUAAACAACACUAUAAAUAUCUGUAAAUUUAUUUUUAAAUCUGAAAUAGCAAAUGCAUAUACAGUUAUUGAUUUUGACGUUACAAUGGACAUGCAGAAUAACAGACUUGUGUACAGAAUCUUGCAUUUUUCAUAAACUAAAUGCAUGAUAUCCGAACUCAAUUAUUCAGCAUGUUCAGGUAACAUGUAUCAACAGAAUAAAAACUGGAAUUAAGCAAACAAGAUUUAAAACUAAACACUUUCUAUAACAGUACAUUAUAAAAGUAGCUAAAUAAUAAAACAAAUUUAAUAUCAUAAGCACUAACAGACCAAUAAAUGAUAAAGAUUUCACACACAGAACUGCACUGUUCACUCAUUAACUAAUUUAUCUAAUUGUAUCAGUUGAAUGAAAUAUGUAUAUCAUCAAAAUAUGUAAAAAUUCAAUAUGAUUUUAAUCACUAAAUAAGUAGUUCAAAGGUGUAUUUAUCUUAAACCAGGGUAUAUCUUAAACCACAGCAAAGUUAUUCUGGAUAAACUACAACAUGCUACAUGAUUGCAUGUUAAAAGUUUACAUGAAAAUAUUAAACCAUCCUGUAAUGUCUCGCCUGUUUUACCUAUCAUUGAUCAUUGGAUUUAUAUAAUGAUGCAAAUGGGCAACAAACAGAAAAUUAGUAUUUAGAUAAUCAGAAAUAAAUAUAAUUCAAUUCUUCAUUCUACAGAAUGGGCAUACAUGAUCGUUAAUUUGAAUAGUUUUAAUAGAAUCAUAUCACAUUACACGUAAGACUUUCUGGGAAUAUAAAUUUUUAGUAAUAUUUUUUAUUUUUUAAUGGAAAUUUUCAUAUUUAAGUUUUGAGUUACCUGCAGAUCUCUUUCUUAAAUCUAUUUUGAAAGCAUCUAUAUUUGUUACAAGGAUCACUGAACAUAACGUAAAAAGGGGUAUCUAGGGAAGACAAUGCAUAAUUCAUGCAAAACAAAUAGUAUUGUAUAUGUUUAAAGAGAGCCAAAGAGGACAAUGACAACAAAUAGUGACAACUACAGAGCAAAUAAAAAUAAGAAUUGUAUCUGAAUUAUUUUUCUAGUUUUUGAUUUCUUAAGCCUCAUAUAUUUAUAAAAGAAAAUGUGAGGUAGACUUUUAUUAGCAAGGAAUUCAAUAAUGCAAUUAAAAAAAAAAGACAUAAAAAAAUAUUGCACUAAACCAUGAUAAUGAUAUAUAUACAAUAUAUGUAGCACAAUUUUGAUAAAUUCACAAUUCAUUCAGGCAUUACUAUAACCCUAUUUAAUGUUAUGUUCUAAAGUUAUUCUCUGAACAUUAUUACCAGUACCACAACAUAUCAAAUAAUCAUUUGGUUAUCAGUUUGAGGCUUGAGAUUUAAAAAAGAGAGACUAGUUAAAUCCCACUACAUGUUCAUUUUCCUGUCUGCAGAUUAGCCAACUACUUUACUAGUUUGAAUGCCAUUUUCUGUCAAAUAACUUAAGGAAUCUUCUUGUCAGUUGAUGGUUCAUAUGUCAAUCAAUAUACAUGUGUAUAAGACAAUGAUGACGUUAAAACUUGGCAUAUAUACAUAACAACAAAUAAGCUCUAGUAUAAUUAGGUUAGAAAGUACAUUUUCAAUGGGUUUUUUAAACA
rnacentral:lncRNA from 1 species